rnacentral:rRNA from 1 species
UUUAUUGGAGAGUUUGAUCCUGGCUCAGGAUGAACGCUGGCGGCGUGCCUAAUACAUGCAAGUCGAGCGAAUGGAUUAAGAGCUUGCUCUUAUGAAGUUAGCGGCGGACGGGUGAGUAACACGUGGGUAACCUGCCCGUAAGACUGGGAUAACUCCGGGAAACCGGGGCUAAUACCGGAUAACAUUUUGAACUGCAUGGUUCGAAAUUGAAAGGCGGCUUCGGCUGUCACUUAUGGAUGGACCCGCGUCGCAUUAGCUAGUUGGUGAGGUAACGGCUCACCAAGGCAACGAUGCGUAGCCGACCUGAGAGGGUGAUCGGCCACACUGGGACUGAGACACGGCCC